rnacentral:lncRNA from 1 species
AAAAAGAAGAAGAACGCUGAGGGAAAGCUAAAAAGCUACGCAGCUUUUGAAAGAGACCCCCACCCCUUCGGAUCGUCUUCUCCAAACGACCCUAGCUCUCUUCUACUAGAACAAAAACGAUCCCUCUCGUUCUACUUCCUUUUCAGGUUCUAAACACAUAAAACCCAUCAGCCAUCGAUCCCAAACACCCAUCAAAACCAAACCUAACGCCUAAGAUGAUUUUCUGCACCGAUUGAAGUUCCGUCCGUUCGAGGUUGCGAAUCCAGUCCGAGUUCGAAAUUUCAUUGUUUGGAACUUCAUUAUGACUGUGUAAUUGCCGAAUUUCAGUUGAAUGAAGCUUUAAUUUUAGAUGCUCUGAAUUGCCGAUUCAUUUGCUCGGCCAGUCGAUUGUUAACCUUGCAAGAUCGAACUCCAAGCAUCUCAGGUCUCUCUUUUCUCUCUCGUAUAUCAAUAUACUUACUGGUACUUCUUCCUUUCUCCCCGCUGCCCGGAUUUCUGCAACUUUUUAUUCUUGUUGGGUUAAUCUCUUGUCGAGAUUUUUGUUGUUCUUGAGAGUGUAACUACAAAUGGCUAUUGUUGGGUGAUUAUUGAAUCCCAAUUUGAUGGUUAAAUUUUGGCUAAGGUAUAGAAUUAUGGGGACUUAGAGAAACGAAGCUUCAGUUAUGUACAUAAGGUGCUUGUGGAAAUGACUGACCGAAUUCAGUCAACAUGGAUUCUUUGAGCUUGAUUUUUUGCGUAAUAUGUGGUGUUUUGAAGCUUAAUUCUUGUUGAUUUCUCACUGUUAAGGUACUGUAAUUGAGGUCGGGCUUUGAGUUUGUGUUGAUCCGCUGUUAUUUUUGAGACUAACAAAUGAAACUCGGAUUGGUUCAAUAAUGCUCAAAUUGAUUUCUUUGUUCGUGUAGUUAACAGACAAUGAUAACUAUGCCUAGAAUGAACCCGUUUGGUGGAUUGUUGAAUAUUUAGUUGAUUAUUUUCAUUUGGUUAUGCGAAAAGUUGUAAAUGGAUAGUUUAUUAUUAGUGAUUAAUCUGGGGUAAACAUACUUUAAUAUGACACUGUUAGGCCAAGGCUUUGAAGUCCAUUUGGACGUAUUUUCGUGAACAUUUUCGGAAGUUUAGAAGUGUGGUACAUCUUAGUUUUAAUUGUAACUUAAUUAUCUUGGUACUUAAAUCUUUUUAAAGUAAUAACGGAGAUUCAUCCAUUAACCAUAUAUUCACUAAUAAUGAUUAGAAAUUGAAUUCUUGAAUGUACAACGUGAAGAUUCCGAGUUUACCGCAUAGUCGUUUUUAGUCUGAAGAGCUAAUUUCAAGAACAUUCUAUGUUUAAUAUUUCUUUGCCAUAUUAUUUGAUUUGCAUUUUAGACCCAAAUUUUAAUGGCUUGGCUUAGGAAACAGAUUUUUUUUCCUUCUAAAUUUACUUUCAUUGAAGUUCAAUUUUCAACUGAUUGUAAAUUUGAAUAGUGUAUUUCUAAUUGUUAUCCCGUUCAGCAAAUGCUGCAAUAGAUUGCUUCAAGCCAUUAGUAGUGGUAAAAUUUCCUAGAGUUAUUGUGGCAUCUCAUGAUGUAUGCUUAUUUUAAUAAUUAUGGAUUCAUUCUUAUAAGUUACAUAACUUCCCUAUUUCAUAACGUGGCCAAAUAAUCUUAAAAAAUGAACGUCCUAGUUUGCUUUAGGCGCGUUAAUUAUAUAGUUAUCAUGGUUAUUACUAAAACCUGGGGGUACAUUUCAUGUGGCCCGGUUCUAAUUUCCAACAAGGUUAAAUAGAACGUGUCGUGAACCACGGGUGCAUUUAAUGUGGCAUGGCUUUCAAUAUGUUUUAAAUAAUCUUGAAUUAAUUCUCUAAAUAAGUAAAAGCGGUUUUCAAAGGUUAAAAUGCACAUAGGUUCAAAAGUGCAGUAAAUCAAUAUAAUUAGGCCAAAUAUAACAGUUAAGCGACUGUGCUAGAACCACAGAAUCUGGGAAUGCCUAACACCUUCUCCCGGGUUAACAGAAUUCCUUACUCGGAUUUCUAGUUCACGGACUGUAAUACAGAGUUAACAUUUUCCUCGAUUCGGGAUUUUGAACCGGUGACUUGGGACACCAUAAAUAUCCCAAGUGGCGACUCUGAAUUCUUUUAAUAAAUAAAUUCCGUUUUGUUUGUCACUUAAAUUGAAAAAACCUCCCUUAUACACCCUUCCGGGGGUGUAGGUAAAAAGGAGGUGUGACAUAUGGUGUUAUUUCAGUGAUUUGGCUUGAAAUUAAUGGAAAUUAAGGGUUAAUAUUGGGAAUCAGGGCUUGGUAUUGGAGACCUUGACUUGAGGAUUUGAGGGGUCAUUUGUGGGCGGAUUUUGGUACUUUUGAUAUGAAUGAACUCGGGGGAGAAUAAAGAUUCCAUUGAUGUAGAUUUUGUCGGUUUCCUAGAUAUGGGCCUGGGGGUCGGGUUUGGUCAAUUUCGGGAUUUGUGUUGUAAUUUGAUUAUUUUCGCAUGGGUUUCGUUCCCUUAGCAUAUUUUGACGUCAUGAUUCUGAUUUUGGAUAGAUUCGACGUGAGUUGAGGCUGAGGCGAGAGGCAAAGGCAUCGUAGGCUAUAGUUUGGACCGGAUAAAGGUAAGUAAUGUUUGUAAAUGCUGUCCUGAGGGUAUGAAACCCCAGAUUUCACAUCGUUGUGCUACUAUGGGGUGACUCACAUGCUAGAUGACGAGCUUGGGGUCGUGCACAAUUGGGGAUUCUGAAUUAGUCCAUCUGAAUGACUUUUUAGUCGCGUAUUUGAUUGAAAACUGUCUGCUAUCAUCAUGUUUUGGGCUGAAUGCCAUAUUUGGGCCUCGUGCCAACUGUUUUGGACCCUUAGGGUAUUUUUACAACUAUUCCUCAUUGUUUAGACUUUAUAUUUGUACUCAGUCAUGCUGUGUUUUACUCUUUUCAUGACUCAGCCAUAUUUACUCGUUUUUUGAUAUUUUAAAUGAAAUUUUGGGCUGAGCAUCAUGUUUCACUAUGUUCGAAUGGCUUUGAGAGAAUUCUGACUGAGUAAGGUCGAAGGCUUGUGUUGUGAGGAUACUAUGGGAUCAGGUUGUACGCCAUAGUAGUGUUAUACUGAUUCAUGAUUAUGAGGCCAAGGGUCUGAUUUGCUACGCAACAAGGUGGCUUGUUAUAAGGCCGAGUGCGUAUUUGAUUAUGCCACGAGAUGGCUUGAUAUUGUGCUUGGGCUGUAAGGAGCCCCUCCCGGAGUCUGUACACCCCCAGUGAGCAUGGUUACCCAGUGUGAGAUGUGAUAUAGCCCGAGGGGCUAAUACGAGUGAUUGUGAGAUAGCCCGAGGGGCUGAUUUGUGUUUUUAUCCUUUUCUCCUGUUUUAUUCACUCGUUUGAAAUGUUAAAAGACGUUUUAAAGAGGUUUUAACUAAACUAAGGUGUUUUUAUGAGUUUUGACUGCUUUAUUGCAUUGUUCUGCUUUUAUACUGUUUUGUUGUAGCAUUAUGCUGUGUUUUCAUGUGUUUACUUAUCGCUGACAUGCCUUUACUUUUAUUACUUACUGAGUUGGCAUACUCACAUUACUCAUUGCACCCCGUGUUCAGAUUCAGGAGUCUUGGGUCACGCUAGCGAUUGUUGAUUUGUUCUCCAGCAAGCUAUUUGAAGUUGACUAGGUAACUGCCAGGUAUUCGCAACCCAGUACUUCUCCUUCCUAUCUUUUUUUUCCUGUUGAUCUGGCUUGUAAUAGACUAUGUAGUCUUUUCAUACACUUAGAUAAAUUUUAGAUGCUCAUGACUGGUGACUCCCGGAUGUCGGGCUGUGUUUGUUUCCGUAUUGUUCUAAUCUAUUUUUUAUUUUGGGAUUUAUAGCUUAUUAAUAACUUAAAAUGAAUUAUUAUAACUGUUAAAUUGAUAUUGGGGAAUUGUGUCGGCUGGACUUGUUUCACGAUAGGCGCCAUCACGACUGAGUCCGGUUUAAGAUCGUGACAUCGACAAACCAACAAAAUGUACACAGAAGACCUAUAAGCCCAUCAUACUACAUUAACUGAUAGGAUAUGACUACAAGCCUCUACUGAUAGAUAUACUAUGAUCGGAAUAGGGC